GAUGAAGGAGAGGGGAGCUAUGAUUUCUUUUGUUCUGUUUUGUACAUAAUAACGUAGCUUAGAAAUCCACACCUCCAAUGCCUAGCUUCUGCUUGGACUCUGCUUAUGUAUUGCAUGCAUAUAUCUUCGGAUAUAUGUCGCAGAAGCGCAUUGGGAAAGAAGAGUGAUGAAUCAUCCCGAGGGUCACUUGUGGAGGAGAACGCAGCUGCCUGGCAUUUUCCAAGUUGGUAAAGAAGCCCAGCGAGGUCCAGCUCUGUGUACCCAGGCACCAACAAGGACUAGAUAACUCUCAGGGUCCCUUCCAACACUUGUGCUUUAUGAAAUAAUAGAGUUUUUUCCCAAUGGUGCAUGGAAUUUAACUGAAAGAUUUGACUGGGGGGGUGGAAUACAAUUUUUUUUUUUUGCACACUUAAUGAUGGUCUUAUUUUAGGGAUGGGGAACCUUUUUGGGUUUGUGGGCCAAGUCCUAAUCAGGAUCAGCCUCAUGGGCCAAAUUUGACAGGUGAAGCUGCUGGCAACCACACGGUUGUUAGGUGAGCGGAGCUUCACACCUGUUAAAAUCCCUCCCACAGCUUUGCAAGUGGUCCUUGCUUCCUUCUUGUUUCUCGGUUCCUACUUGUUCAUUCACUCCCAGACUUCCCUUUACAGAGGUGAAUCUUAGGAUAAUCAGUGAGAGCUGGAAUUCAAGAUUCUGCCAGGGGUUUUGGCCCCAUCUUGCUUCCUACUGGAGAAAGCUUUAAAACCUGUUUCCUAACGUUUCAACAUAAGCUUGUCAGCUGUAUUGGAGGUGCCGAAUCCUCUUUUAAAAAACAAAAUCCCACUUUUGUUUACAUAAAUAUUUUGAGUGAGAUCCUUUCUGCAUAACUUAAACGUUAGUCUUUGAGCGCUUAACUGCUGUGCUUUCUCAACAUAUGGCAGCUGUGUUAUCAAGGGUGAUGGAUUGCAGUGCUGUCAUAAUUGGUACCAUGAAAUGGUUCAAAGGAGAUACGGAAAUGUGGUGGUGUUUUGUUACGUUUUUUAAAAUUAACUUUUCUUUUUCUUUUCAAAGGUGGCUUCCUUGCUCCAGAUGCACAGUAAGUAGUCUGUAGCUGUAAACAUCCCCGACUGGAAGCUGUAAGCUUUAGCUUUCAGUCAGAUGUUUGCUGCCACCGGCUAUUCAUAAACAACGGUGGAAGAAAAAGAUCCAUUAUAACGAUACAUUAUUUUAAGCUGACAGGCAUGGAGGGGUUGUCUUAACACUUUUUAAAUAGAUGCCAGGGAUUUGAACAUGGGGUCUUCUGUAUUCAAAGCAUGCGUUCUUGCCCAUUUCCCCCCUCCCUCAUUUUUCCUAAACCUUCUUUGCAUUCUCUGCCUUAGAACCUGCCCUUUUGCACAAACACACGUAUACAAAGGGGUGCAGUAUACAUAUUAUUUAGUAAUAUUUUAUCUAUCCAUUUUAAUGGGACGCGGGUGGCGCUGUGGUCUAAACCACAGAGCCUAGGGCUUGCCGAUCAGAAGGUUGGCGGUUCGAAUCCCCGCGAAGGGGUGAG